rnacentral:snoRNA from 1 species
UGGCCAGUAGGAUAAAAUCUGCUUAACUUCUAAAUGUUUUGCAGAAAUUUAAAAUAAUGCUGGCAAGAAUAAGGCCAGAGUACGAGCCUCAAAGACUUUAUAGUCAUUGAGGUCCCAAUAAAUGGCUACAUGG